rnacentral:lncRNA from 1 species
UACAUUCUUGGCUCCACUACUUAACCAUGCUUUUCUUAUUCUCCCUUUUACUCUUUUAUUGCUUAUUUGGAUUGGGUGUGAUUUCCUUCUUUCUUUGCAUUUAUUCACUUCUCUUUUUUUUUUCUUUUUCUUUUUUUCAUUUUCUUUUUUUUUUCUCACACUUUUCUACUACAUUCAACCCUAUUUUCUUUCCUUCAUUCAACACCUUUCUUCAUACUAAUUUUCAACUACACGCCUCUAUGAUAACCAUCCUCAAAUUAGGCAAUUUUCUUGAGUUGAGGUACA